rnacentral:rRNA from 1 species
UAACGCGAAGAACCUUACCUGGUCUUGACAUCCACGGAAGUUUUCAGAGAUGAGAAUGUGCCUUCGGGAACCGUGAGACAGGUGCUGCAUGGCUGUCGUCAGCUCGUGUUGUGAAAUGUUGGGUUAAGUCCCGCAACGAGCGCAACCCUUAUCCUUUGUUGCCAGCGGUCCGGCCGGGAACUCAAAGGAGACUGCCAGUGAUAAACUGGAGGAAGGUGGGGAUGACGUCAAGUCAUCAUGGCCCUUACGACCAGGGCUACACACGUGCUACAAUGGCGCAUACAAAGAGAAGCGACCUCGCGAGAGCAAGCGGACCUCAUAAAGUGCGUCGUAGUCCGGAUUGGAGUCUGCAACUCGACUCCAUGAAGUCGGAAUCGCUAGUAAUUGUGGAUCAGAAUGCCACGGUGAAUACGUUCCCGGGCCUUGUACACACCG